CCGCCCAUAGCUCAAUUGGUAGAGCAGCUGCCUCUUAAGCAGUUGGUUGAAGGUUCGAGUCCUUCUGGGCGGACCA
rnacentral:tRNA from 1 species